GUAGGUGGCAAGCGUUGUCCGGAAUUAUUGGGCGUAAGCGCGCGCAGGCGGUUCUUUAAGUCUGAUGUGAAAGCCCACGGGCUCAACCGUGGAGGGUCAUUGGAAACUGGAGAACUUGAGUACAGAAGAGGAAAGCGGAAUUCCACGUGUAGCGGUGAAAUGCGUAGAGAUGUGGAGGAACACCAGUGGCGAAGGCGGCUUUCUGGUCUGUAACUGACGCUGAGGCGCGAAAGCGUGGGGAGCAAACAGGAUUAGAUACCCUGGUAGUCCACGCCGUAAACGAUGAGUGCUAAGUGUUAGGGGGUUUCCGCCCCUUAGUGCUGCAGCUAACGCAUUAAGCACUCCGCCUGGGGAGUACGGCCGCAAAGGCUG
rnacentral:rRNA from 1 species